GAUGAACGCUGGCGGCGUGCCUAAUACAUGCAAGUCGAGCGAACAGACGAGGAGCUUGCUCCUCUGACGUUAUCGGCGGACGGGUGAGUAACACGUGGAUAACCUACCUAUCAGACUGGGAUAACUUCGGGAAACCGGAGCUAAUACCGGAUAAUAUAUUGAACCGCAUGGUUCAAUAGUGAAAUACGGUUUUGCUGUCACUUAUAGAUGGAUCCGCGCCGCAUUAGCUAGUUGGUAAGGUAACGGCUUACCAAGGCAACGAUGCGUAGCCGACCUGAGAGGGUGAUCGGCCACACUGGAACUGAGACACGGUCCAGACUCCUACGGGAGGCAGCAGUAGGGAAUCUUCCGCAAUGGGCGAAAGCCUGACGGAGCAACGCCGCGUGAGUGAUGAAGGUCUUCGGAUCGUAAAACUCUGUUAUUAGGGAAGAACAAAUGUGUAAGUAACUAUGCACGUCUUGACGGUACCUAAUCAGAAAGCCACGGCUAACUACGUG
rnacentral:rRNA from 1 species